rnacentral:lncRNA from 1 species
UAAUAUUAAUUAUAAAUUUGAAUUAUAUUAUAUAUAAACCAAUUUUUUUCUUACAACAAAAUCAAAACAAUUAGUUUAUCUAAAUACAACACUAUAAUAAAAUUAAACAUUAUAAGAAAAUUAAACCAACAAUUAAACCAAACAAUUAAACUAAAUAAUUAAACCAAAGAAAAACCAAAGUAAACAAAAAAAACCUAAACCCUACACGAUGGAGAGACACCGCCGCUCAUGGAUUCAUGACCAUUGCCUCAAGCUUUUCGACCAAUCUCAGAGGCGAAGUAGAACUUGGACGAAAUCUCCAGAUCUAUCACCACCACGACGCCCUCGCGACUCCAGAUCUAUCACCACCAGUCUCACAGGACAUUAUCCUUCAAAUCUCAACAAGGAAAAGCCACCAUGACAGCACCGCAAAAGGAGCACCACCACCGGAUCUCGUCCUCACACAGCUGCAUCUGUUUCCACCAAAAAUACAAAAGCUUAGUUUUGUGAUUUUCCUAAAAAAAUAGAUGAAGAAGAAUGAAGUUUGGGGAAAAAGAGUGAAAAAAUUGAAGAGAUGGAAAAAAAAGAGGCGGCCAUUUAGAAUGAAAGAGUUAAGGAAAAUGAAAGGUUCUCGUGUAUAAAUUUAGGUUAUAAAAUUUUUCUACUGAAUUCUAAUAUUUAGU